CACGUAGGGGGCAAGCGUUGUCCGGAUUUAUUGGGCGUAAAGAGCUCGUAGGUGGUUCGGUAAGUCGGGUGUUAAACCCCCAGGCUCAACCUGGGGACGCCACUCGAUACUGCUGUGACUUGAGUCCGGUAGGGGAGCGUGGAAUUCCUGGUGUAGCGGUGAAAUGCGCAGAUAUCAGGAGGAACACCGGUGGCGAAGGCGGGUCUCUGGGCCACUACUGACGCUGAGAAGCGAAAGCAUGGGGAGCGAACAGG
rnacentral:rRNA from 1 species